rnacentral:rRNA from 1 species
GACGAACGCUGGCGGCGUGCCUAAUACAUGCAAGUCGAACGCAGUGGGGACGGGUGAGUAACACGUUGGUAACCUCCCAUCAGAGGGGAUAACACUUGGAAAAAGGUGCUAAACCGAUACUGAUGGAUGAACCAGCGGUGCAUUAGCUCUUUGGGGAGGUAACGGCUCACAAAGGCCACGUAGCAUAGCCGACCUGAGAGGGGGAUCGGCAACACUGGGACUGAGACACGGCCCAGACUCCUACGGGGGGCAGCAGUAGGAAAUCUUCGGCAAUGGACGAAGGUCUGACCGAGCAAGGCCGCGGGAGUGAAGAAGGUUUUCGGAUCGUAAAACUCUGUUGUUAGAGAAGCGGUAUCUAACCAGAAAGCCACGGCUAACUACGUGCCAGCAGCCGCGGUAAUUC